rnacentral:rRNA from 1 species
AUUGAACGCUAGCGGGAUGCUUUACACAUGCAAGUCGAACGGCAGCGCGGACUUCGGUCUGGCGGCGAGUGGCGAACGGGUGAGUAAUGUAUCGGAACGUGCCCAGUAGCGGGGGAUAACUACGCGAAAGCGUAGCUAAUACCGCAUACGCCCUACGGGGGAAAGCAGGGGAUCGUAAGACCUUGCACUAUUGGAGCGGCCGAUAUCGGAUUAGCUAGUUGGUGAGGUAACGGCUCACCAAGGCGACGAUCCGUAGCUGGUUUGAGAGGACGACCAGCCACACUGGGACUGAGACACGGCCCAGGCUCCUGCGGGAGGCAGCAGUGGGGAAUUUUGGACAAUGGGGGCAACCCUGAUCCAGCCAUCCCGCGUGUGCGAUGAAGGCCUUCGGGUUGUAAAGCACUUUUGGCAGGAAAGAAACGUCGCGGGCUAAUACCCCGUGGAACUGACGGUACCUGCAGAAUAAGCACCGGCUAACUACGUG